GUGGGGAAUCUUGCGCAAUGGGCGAAAGCCUGACGCAGCCAUGCCGCGUGAAUGAUGAAGGUCUUAGGAUUGUAAAAUUCUUUCACCGGGGACGAUAAUGACGGUACCCGGAGAAGAAGCCCCGGCUAACUUCGUGCCAGCAGCCGCGGUAAUACGAAGGGGGCUAGCGUUGCUCGGAAUUACUGGGCGUAAAGGGCGCGUAGGCGGACAGUUUAGUCAGAGGUGAAAGCCCAGGGCUCAACCUUGGAAUUGCCUUUGAUACGGGCUGUCUGGAGUACGGGAGAGGUGAGUGGAACUCCGAGUGUAGAGGUGAAAUUCGUAGAUAUUCGGAGGAACACCAGUGGCGAAGGCGACUCACUGGCCCGUUACUGACGCUGAGGCGCGAAAGCGUGGCGAGCAAACAGGAUUAGAAACCCUGGUAGUCC
rnacentral:rRNA from 1 species